ACUCCUGCGGGAGGCAGCAGUGGGGAAUUUUGGACAAUGGGCGAAAGCCUGAUCCAGCAAUGCCGCGUGUGUGAAGAAGGCCUUCGGGUUGUAAAGCACUUUUGUCCGGAAAGAAAUCCUUGGCUCUAAUACAGUCGGGGGAUGACGGUACCGGAAGAAUAAGCACCGGCUAACUACGUGCCAGCAGCCGCGGUAAUACGUAGGGUGCGAGCGUUAAUCGGAAUUACUGGGCGUAAAGCGUGCGCAGGCGGUUUGCUAAGACCGAUGUGAAAUCCCCGGGCUCAACCUGGGAACUGCAUUGGUGACUGGCAGGCUAGAGUAUGGCAGAGGGGGGUAGAAUUCCACGUGUAGCAGUGAAAUGCGUAGAGGUGUGGAGGAAUACCGAUGGCGAAGGCAGCCCCCUGGGCCAAUACUGACGCUCAUGCACGAAAGCGUGGGGAGCAAACAGGAUUAGAUACCCGAGUAGUCC
rnacentral:rRNA from 1 species